GUACUAAUAAAGGGUGAAAUCAAUUUUUUAGUAUACAGUAGAAUAAAAACUUUGAUUAUAGCUGAGGCUGUUAAGAUAAAGAGAUGAACCAGGAUUAGAUACCCUGUUACACUUUAUUUAAAUUGUUAUUACCUGGGUACUAAACAGUUAUUAUCUUGAAACUCAAAGGAUUUGGCGGUAACUUAGUCUAUUUAGAGGAACCUGUCCUGUAAUCGAUAGUCCACGAAGAAUCUUACUCUAUUUUGUAAAAAUACAGUUUGUAUACCGUCAUUAUUAGGUAACUUUUAUAAAAGAUAAAGUUACUAUAAUAGUUUUGCUAAUAUAUUAAAUCAAGGUGCAGCUUAUAGUAAAGGAAGAGAUGGGUUACAAUAUACUAAAAUAAACGGAACAACAAAUGAAUAUUUGUUAUAAAGGUGGAUUUAAAAGUAAGAAGAUUUUAAUAAGAUCUUUUGAUUUUAGCUCUAGGUUAUGUACACAUCGCCCGUCGCUCUCGUUAAUUAAAGC
rnacentral:rRNA from 1 species